rnacentral:rRNA from 1 species
UACGUAGGGGGCGAGCGUUAUCCGGAAUUACUGGGCGUAAAGCGCACGCAGGCGGUUCGCUAAGUUUGGAGUGACAGUUGUCGGCUCAACCGACAAAGGACUUCAAAAACUGGUGAACUUGAGGACGAGAGAGGAACAUGGAACUCCAGGUGUAGUAGUGAAAUGCGUAGAUAUCUGGAAGAACACCAAUGGCGAAGGCAAUGUUCUGGCUCGUUUCUGACGCUCAGGUGCGAAAGCCAGGGGAGCGAACGGG